rnacentral:rRNA from 1 species
GGGUGAGUCGGCCCCUAAGGCGAGGCAGAAAUGCGUAGCUGAUGGGAAACAGGUUAAUAUUCCUGUACUUCUUAUAACUGCGAUGGAGAGACGGAGAAGGCUAGGCCUACCGGGCGUUGGUUGUCCCGGGGAAAGGCUGUAGGCUGAGGUGUUAGGCAAAUCCGGCACCUUAAGGCUGAGAGUCGAGACCACUGGUCCUUUGUGACCGGGAAGUGGUUGAUGCCAUGCUUCCAGGAAAAUCUUCUAAGCUUCAGGUUAUAAGGAACCGUACCCCAAACCGACACAGGUGGUUGGGAUGAGUAUUCUAAGGCGCUUGAGAGAACUCGGGUGAAGGAACUAGGCAAAGUGGUACCGUAACUUCGGGAGAAGGUACGCCGCUGACGGUGAUGAGACUUGCUCUCUGAGCUAUCGGCGGUCGCAGUGAAAAGGCCCCUGCAACUGUUUAUUAAAAACACAGCACUCUGCAAACGCGUAAGCGGACGUAUAGGGUGUGACGCCUGCCCGGUGCCGGAAGGUUAAUUGAUGGGGUUAGCUUCGGCGAAGCUCUUGAUCGAAGCCCCGGUAAACGGCGGCCGUAACUAUAACGGUCCUAAGGUAGCGAAAUUCCUUGUCGGGUAAGUUCCGACCUGCACGAAUGGCGUAAUGAUGGGGGCGCUGUCUCCACCCGAGACUCAGUGAAAUCGAAAUCGCAGUGAAGAUGCUGUGUACCCGCGGCUAGACGGAAAGACCCCGUGAACCUUUACUAUAGCUUCACAGUGGACUUUGAACCUGUUUGUGUAGGAUAGCUGGGAGACUUUGAAGCAGUGACGCUAGUCAUUGUGGAGUCGUCCUUGAAAUACCAGCCUGGCAUGUUUGAGGUUCUAACCUGGGUCCCUUAUCGGGAUCGGGGACAUUGUGUGGUGGGUAGUUUGACUGGGGCGGUCUCCUCCCAAAGAGUAACGGAGGAGCACAAAGGUACCCUCAGCACGGUCGGACAUCGUGCAACGAGCGUAAAGGUAGAAGGGUGCUUGACUGCGAGACUUACAAGUCGAGCAGGUGCGAAAGCAGGUCUUAGUGAUCCGGUGGUUCUGUAUGGAAGGGCCAUCGCUCAACGGAUAAAAGGUACUCCGGGGAUAACAGGCUGAUACCGCCCAAGAGUUCAUAUCGACGGCGGUGUUUGGCACCUCGAUGU